GACGAACGCUAGCGGCGUGCCUUAUACAUGCAAGUAGAACGCCGUUUCGCACGCGUGUGUAACGCGUAGGUAACUGCCCCAUAGCGGGGGAUAACCAUUUGAAACGAUAGCUAAUACCGCAUACUGUGAGAUGGACCUGCGUUGUAUUAGCUAGUUGGUGGGGUAAAGGCUCACCAAGGCGACCGUACAUAGCCGACCUGAGAGGGUGAUCGGCCACACGUGGGCUGGGAAACAGGCCAGAAUUCUUCGGGAGGCAGGAGUUGGGGAAUUUCGGCAAAGGAGGGAAGUCUGGCCGCGCAAAGCCGCGGGAUUGAAGAAGGGUCUCGGAUCGUAAAGCUCCGUUGUGAAAGAAGCGGUAACUGACCAGAAAGGGCCGGCUAACUACGUGCCAGCAGCCGCGGUAAUAC
rnacentral:rRNA from 1 species